rnacentral:piRNA from 1 species
UGGGUACACCUUUGCGAAUCUUGGAGAGC